rnacentral:lncRNA from 10 species
GGCUGCGCGGCGCUCCUGGCGCGCACCUUGGCGUGCGGAGCUGGCACCUUGGCGCCGUGGGCGGCGGCGGGGCCAGCUGUAGAAUGUGAAGUUCCUUGUCUGCUGGCAGCCAGAGGCGACGAGUCUGGAUGUCAUGGAAGUGUAGGUCUCCUCGGGCGCGUCCCUUUUGGGCCGAGGAGCCUAACGGUUGGACCGCUGAGAGCUGAGAGCCGAGAGCCUUGGGGACUGGGCGACCGUCGUUCGGGAGUGAGGGCCGGCCCUGUCCGGGAGGGUCCCGGAGUGGGGACGGGGUGAACUGGACUCUCGCUUUGCCCCUCCGAACUUUCGCUUCCCCUCCACACCCUGUGUCUGGGGUGCGGGGCCGAGCACCUCCGUGUCCAGCUGCCUUUCAAUGUGCCCCCUCCUUCUCUCAUUCAUUUACCAGCAUCUUUGGGUCACAGUGCAGGGGUGGAGCCCAGCCUGGUAUCCGAGACGGGACUUAGAAGGCUAUAAAGGCCUGAGUCUGUCCGCCCUGAAAGUAGCUGGAGAAGAGACGAAUCAGGGCCGGGUAGAGCUCUGCUUUCCUCACUGGGCCCUGGGGAGCCCUUACUCAGAAGAGCUGCUCUCAGAGUUUGAUGGGAGCAGUCAACACUGUAAGGGAAACGACAGAGUUUUGAUCUUAUCACCCAGGCUGCAGUGCAAUGGCGGCUGA